CUCUUGAGAGCGGCGGACGGGUGAGUAAUGCCUAGGAAUCUGCCUGGUAGUGGGGGAUAACGUUCGGAAACGGACGCUAAUACCGCAUACGUCCUACGGGAGAAAGCAGGGGACCUUCGGGCCUUGCGCUAUCAGAUGAGCCUAGGUCGGAUUAGCUAGUUGGUGGGGUAAUGGCUCACCAAGGCGACGAUCCGUAACUGGUCUGAGAGGAUGAUCAGCCACACCGGGACUGAGACACGGCCCGGACUCCUACGGGAGGCAGCAGUGGGGAAUAUUGGACAAUGGGGGAAACCCUGAUCCAGCCAUGCCGCGUGUGUGAAGAAGGCCUUUUGGUUGUAAAGCACUUUAAGCAGUGAAGAAGACUCUUCGGUUAAUACCCGGAGACGAUGACAUUAGCUGCAGAAUAAGCACCGGCUAACUCUGUGCCAGCAGCCGCGGUAAUACAGAGGGUGCAAGCGUUAAUCGGAAUUACUGGGCGUAAAGGGAGCGUAGGUGGCUCGAUAAGUCAGAUGUGAAAUCCCCGGGCUCAACCUGGGA
rnacentral:rRNA from 1 species